GGGUCGUUAGCUCAGUCGGUAGAGCAGUUGGCUUUUAACCAAUUGGUCGAUGGUUCGAGUCCAUCACGACCCACCA
rnacentral:tRNA from 1 species